rnacentral:rRNA from 1 species
UACGUAGGGGGCAAGCGUUGUCCGGAUUCAUUGGGCGUAAAGAGCGUGUAGGCGGCCAGGUAGGUCGGUUGUGAAAACUGGAGGCUCAACCUUCAGACGUCGACCGAAACCAUCUGGCUAGAGUCCGGGAGAGGGGAGUGGAAUUCCUGGUGUAGCGGUGAAAUGCGCAGAUAUCAGGAAGAACACCCGUGGCGAAAGCGGCUCUCUGGAAACG